GACGAACGCUGGCGGUGUGCUUAACACAUGCAAGUCGAACGAAGUAUUAAAGCUUGCUUUGAUACUUAGUGGCGGACGGGUGAGUAACGCGUGAGUAAUCUGCCUCAUUCAGGGGGAUAACACAGAGAAAUUUGUGCUAAUACCGCAUAAGACUACGGAAAGGCAUCUUUUUGUAGUAAAAGAUUUUAUCGGAAUGAGAUGAGCUCGCGUCCUAUUAGGCAGUUGGCGGGGUAACGGCCCACCAAACCGACGAUAGGUAGCCGACCUGAGAGGGUGAUCGGCCACAUUGGAACCGAGACACGGUCCAA
rnacentral:rRNA from 1 species